UACGUAGGGGGCAAGCGUUGUCCGGAAUUAUUGGGCGUAAAGCGCGCGCAGGCGGCUUCUUAAGUCAGGUGUGAAAGCCCACGGCUCAACCGUGGAGGGCCACUUGAAACUGGGAGGCUUGAGUGCAGGAGAGGAGAGCGGAAUUCCACGUGUAGCGGUGAAAUGCGUAGAGAUGUGGAGGAACACCUGUGGCGAAGGCGGCUCUCUGGCCUGUAACUGACGCUGAGGCGCGAAAGCGUGGGGAGCGAAC
rnacentral:rRNA from 1 species